rnacentral:lncRNA from 1 species
GAGGAAGAGCCUGCAGGUAGGAACAGCCCUUGGGGUAUGAAAAAGUGGGAAAGGUUUCAUGGUAAGAUUUGAGUUCACCUACUCAUGUGGGAAAUGAGGAAUGGGAAUAAAAUAGAAAAAAACAGAAAUAUGUAUUAUUUUCAUAAAAGAAGAGUUAGUAGACCUUCUGACAUCCUGUUCAUAAGAAGACAACUUUUGCUUUGCCAGGUAAACACAAUCUUCCAUGUUAAGUCCCAUUCUGUCCUAAAUUUGCCUCUAAUAAACAUCAAGUAGCUUGGCUUUCAUUAUUGAUUAUUUUUUGGCAUUGUGCAUGAAAGAAAUAAGAUCUGUACUUUAGGUUUGACCCACAAUGGAAAGAAUCUAGUGGGACAUACUUUCUUAGAAGCACUUUGCAAACCUGUAAUUGAAGCUCUCACUAGUGAUAAGCAGUGAGUAAGAAGUCACAAUUCCCCUCUGAAUGGUAUCUUUUAUUUUAUUUUAUUUAUUUUUUUAUAUUUUUUUAAUAUUUAUUUAUUUUUGGCGGACACAACAUCUUUGUUUGUAUGUGGUGCUGAGGAUCGAACCCAGGCCGCGCGCAUGCCAGGCGAGCGCGCUGCCGCUUGAGCCGCAUCCCCAGCAAGAAUGGUAUCUUUUUAGAGCAGCACUUUCUCUUCUGUGUUUUGUCUAUUUCUGGUUGAAAAUGAACUCCCAAAUGUGGGCAACUUAAAGAAAAUUGUUUCUGUGCUCCCUGGACAGGCCACUGUGUUCUCCUGUAAAAGAGUGGGGAGAAGUUCCUCCUUGAACAUGUUUCUAACCUCCAGUCUUUGUCUAAUUCCCAAGCCCUGGGACUAGGAGGAAAAUCUGAAUUUGCUUGUAUUUAAGAGGCCUAAGUCCAGAAAAUCAGGGAGACUCUGGCUGCCUCUUGGAGGAACAGGAUGACACAGAAUCCCUACCAAGUACAAUGGCAGAAUGUGAACUGGAAAAGAGCUCUUGGGAUGCUAGAUCUAUUUCUCAUUGCAGAGGUGAGGUGAUGGAGGCCAGGAGACAGGAAUGCAGACAAGAGAAAGAAUGGAGAGCUUAGACUGUGGGUUCCAGAACACCAGGAACAGGAGCAACUUAAGUUCUCACCUUGACUUUAACUCUGCCUUUCCUUUUUAUAAGGCCACAUCAUCACCAUCACGGCCAUGGUCCACAGAGAAAACAUAGAAAGUGAUUCAGAGGAUGAGGAGGAGGAAAAAAGGACAAGAAAUCUGCAAGUAAUUGAUUUUCUAUUGGUUUCUCUUAAUUAUUCUUUCUUAUGUAAAGACUCUGUAGAUUUUCCAUGUUUCAUCUUUCCCACAUUUUAUGACUUUUCUAAAGGUGCUUUCCUCAUCCAGAUCUUUGAGGUCCUUGGAUCUUCAAUGUCUGUUAAAUCUCUCUGCACUAACAUUCUUAGUCUUUCCCUACUUUUUUUACCACAGGCAAUACCACUGAAUCAUGCUGAGUAAUACUGCAUACCCAUACACUGAGUUUGAGUUGUAGGGAGCAUCAGAAAUACUGAGUUGUUGCCUGAUACAUGAGACACAAACAAUCUGGUUCUGUUUUACUGACCACUGAAUAGUGGGGUUCUCCUGCCUUUGCUGGCUCUGAGCAUGCAUGAAUGUAUCCUUCCUUUCCUAGGUCAAAAUUACACAAUUGGAAUGUAGGUCCCCUAACAUGAAUUGUUUCCAGGGACCCUCUCCUGUUUUAAUAUGUGGGCUCAAUGCAACAAAGGCGAUAAAGCAGUUUAGGAAGAGGAAAUGUGAGUCUGGAAAGAAUGGGAAGGAGAGCAGAGGUCAAAUCAGUCCACAUAUUCUCCUUUGCUUUCUUAAGUUUCUUUGUUGCACUUUGUUGCAAUCCAUAAGAAUCAAUUAGAGCACUGAAGGUUCCAUAGUUGCAUGUGACCAUGGCCAUGCAAGGGAAGGUACAAUUUGGUUAAAAUCAGUGCAGGAAGCUCUCUGAGGAAUGGCACUACAGAGGGUAGGGCUGGAGGAGCCAGGGUCCUUGCUCCACCCUGUGUCAUCACAGAUGCUGCUCUUCAGGGUCCCAGAUGUAUGCUACUCAGCCUUUACACCCAAAUGUCCUACAGAACUCUUCCCAUUGCCUCAUGUUCACUCUCUAGGGAAGCAGCCUCAGAAGGUUCUGAAGGUGAAUAUCCAUGAGAAUUUCCUCCUGAGGACAUUCAUAGACACUCUUCCCAUAGACAACACCCUCAGCUGAGGGCAGCAUACCAGCCUCAGUGCUCCCUGCCCAGACCCCAGGAGAGAUCAGGGCCCAAGUUUAUCUUGCAUUUCCUGAGGACAAUUGUGGUCCUGGCCACUCUCUGUGGCCAGCAACUUAUCCCAAGUGACCUUUUUACCUUGUUCUGUUUUAUAGACCCCAUAAGACACCUGGGAGAGCAGAGAUUUUGGCCCUGGGACACAGGAGAGAUGAUACCUGCAGUGCACAGCAGCUGAAAUUAACCUGUAAGACUCGGAGCAGGAGCUUGUUUUUCAUUUCCAAAGACAUAACUGUCAAUAUUGUAUGGAAUUUGCAGACUUAUAUGUUCUUUGUUUAAUAAUUUUAAUAUUAGUAAUUCAUGUUAAAUUUUUAUAUUAAAUUAUAUUUACUUGGUAACAGUUGCUUUUUAAAUUCAUUCUGUAAAAUAAAACACACUUGGGAAGAGAGGUGGGAGGGAAAGUGAGGGAGAAGUGGAAUUGCAUGGAAGAUGGAAGGAGACCCUCAUCGUUAUACAGAAUACAUGUAUGAUGAUGUGAGGGAAAAAAAGAAGUGUGUCACAUUAGAUUGGGUAGAGAGAACUGAUGGGAGGGGAGGGGAGGGGAAGGAGGGAAAGGAAGGUCAGCAGAAUAAAAUAGACAUUAGUAUUGCUGUAUGUAUAUACAUGACUGCAUGACCAAUGUGAUUCUGCAACCUGUACACUCAGAAAAAUGAGAAAUUAUACCCCAUAUUAUUCAAAAAUAUGAUAUGUCAAGAUCAUUGUACUGUCAUGUUUAACUAAUUAAAACAAAUUUUAAAAACACACACAUUAAAAGAGGAAUAUGUUCCUGAGGCAGAUCUUGAUGAAUUACAAAGAUUUUACCUGGUAACUUCCAUCACCAUCACUCCUCUCCUCUCCUCAUACCCCUCAGUUUGCUUUUUUGGUUGUUUUUUAGAUUGGUGUUAUAACAUUCACUAAAUUAUUGAUGUGGGUGAACGGAUGCAAUAAAGAAACAAAUAAUUAAAUUACAAGCUAAGUUAAAUCCCAACUAAAUUUCAUAAGUGUUUAAUUCAUUUAUCCAUUCAUUAGCUAACUGAAUCUCAAGUCAAAACACCCAAUAUAAGAAAGGGCUGGGAAAAAAUUGGCAAUAUUCAUUUAUGAAAAAUUGUGGUUUUAGGGGGCUGGGGAUGUGGCUCAAGCGGUAGCGAGCUCGCCUGGCAUGCGUGCGGCCCGGGUUCGAUCCUCAGCACCACAUACAAACAAGAUGU